CGCGGAGGCCUGGGGCGCGCGGGCGCGGGGCGGCGGGCGCGCGCACCUCUCUCCGCCCCUACCUGGCCUUGACGCCGGCACAAUGGCGGCUUCCGUGCCCCCGCCGCGGCCCGUCACCCACCUGCUCUUUGACAUGGACGGCCUCCUUCUUGAUACCGAACGGCUGUAUUCGGUGGUGUUCCAAGAAAUAUGUGAUCGCUACGGAAAGAAAUACAGUUGGGACGUCAAGUCCCUUGUUAUGGGAAAGAAGGCAUCAGAGGCGGCACAGAUCAUAAUAGACGUCCUGCAGCUCCCGAUGACCAAAGAGGAGCUGCUGGAGGAAAGCCAGACGAAGUUGAAAGAGGUGUUCUCCACGGCCGCCCUGAUGCCAGGGGUGGAGAGACUGAUUCGCCAUCUGCGCCGGCACGGCGUGCCCCUGGCCGUGGCCACCAGCUCCAGCCGCGCAUCGUUUGACAUGAAGACCGGCAGACACCAGGCCUUCUUCGGCUUGUUUGACCACAUCGUGUUGGGGGAUGACCCCGAAGUGAACAACGGGAAGCCACAUCCGGACAUAUUUCUAGUCUGUGCCAAGAGGUUUUCCCCUGCUCCGCCCACCCACCAGAAAGAACUUUGCAUGGUGUUGCCCCCUGAAGAUGGAAUUCAGCAUCAAAACCAGCUUGGUCUCCCUCAAAGAAACCAUUGACGUGCAAAAGACCUCUAGGAUGUAGCAUUUCAUCAUAUACUAGGGCUGCAGUGCACUCUGCAGAAUUGGACUUGAAAAAUGAAGAAGGUAGAUGGAGGUUAUAGUAAAUUUCUGUCGCACUAAAAAUUUCCUGAUCCCACGGCCGUGGGGUUUGUUGGAAUGUUGCAUGUCCUUGAAGCACUGUUCACCAGGCUUGUGGGGCUGGAACACACGGAGAACUCAUUUUGCUACGACAGGAGGUUGCCAGGCCCUGGAACCCAAACAGGCGUCCAGAAGUACUUUGACAUCUUUCUCCCACAUCCAUGGUCACCAUAUUGCAAAAUGGUGGUCCCACAUUCAUAUUCUCAUCCUGGAUGCCAUGAUGUUUUCAUCAUGCUGACGUUCUUCGCCAUGCUGCAGCUGUUCAUGGCCUGGGACGAUGAGGGCCUCAGCAUUGUAGCAUCAGUUAGUAGAGACUCUUUCUCCCUGCCUUUGGUUUAUCAAAUGACUGACUCAGGAGCAGCGGCACAUGGACCCCCAAGCAAAGGUCUCAGGUGGCAGUCCCUGGAAUGUUCUUGUUUCGAUGGUCCUGAGAGUUUGCGGUUAGGUUUAUAUACCUUGCCUUAAUGACUGAAGUGUCCAAAAUCAUAAAUUCAAACUGUAAUGGAAGAAAAUAAUAAUUUAUCUCAUGACUGCAGUGAACAUAGUCUGAGUCUCAGAUUUAUCCCCCUGAUUAUUCUUUAAACCAGAAAAGAUAUGUAUCAACAUAGAAAUGGUCUUUUUUAUGGGGAGCCAAUUCCAUGACUGUAUGUACCAUUGAUUCUUGGUCACUGAUGCCACUUUCCUAUUCGUGGGACAAGGAUGUUUUCCACAAAGCUCUCCCCUAUAAGAUAAUGGCAGCUGAUGCCUGAGCAUCUGCAUCUGGAAGUCUUGAUAUGAAAGUUUCUACCCCUCUUAGAUGAGAGGUGGCCUGUGGUCCCCACAAUGGGAUCCAGUUCUUUCUGCCCAUUCAUGGAGUGACUUGGAGAACAGAAAGCUGGUUUGCUGAAGGACCACUCAGUAGAGAGAUGACUGUAACGCUGAUGCCCAGAGGAACCCGGCAAGAUGUGGGCUGAAGACAACAGAAGCAUGACAGCUUGGAUCCCCGAAUGACUGUGUGGACCAGAGACUUCCACUGCCCCAUGGCACAAGCCCUACACUGUGCAUGAGAGUGACCACGUCUGAGCCACCACGUUGGGUCCAUUUGUAGCUGCAGCUUACCUACUCUAAAGCACCACCUCUGAAACACCCUCACAGACACACCAAAAGUAAUGUUUUACCAGCUAUCUGGACAUCCCUCAGACUGGUCAAGUUGACACAUAGAAUUAAACAUCAUAUGAGCAUCUAAGAGAAGCAAUACAUGGUUUCUAAGUAGCCACGUAAAGGAGAUCAACACCCUUUGGUUUUGUGGAACAUGGAGUUUGAUAGCACAUAUAGGUUUAAUGCCAUAUGGCCUUGCUUCAGUGAGGAAGAUGAAGGUCAUCAAAGAAGGAGAGAGAUAUGGAGGGAGAAUAGGAGAUGGGAAUCUUUAAAAGGCAUGCAAGGUAACAAAGAUCUGGAAGAUUAUAAGCUGUGAAAUGUAUGAAGUCUAUCCCUCUUCAUCUCACUUAUGAAAUCUUCGAUGAAAUCUGCAAAACAGAUUCACAAAAACUCUUUGUGUGGCUGGAUUUCCCGUGGACAUUGGUGAAUGAGACAACUUCUGCAUGCCAUUUGUGUUGGAUGACUCAAAUAAGGGGCUCCGUUCUAGGUUGUUGAUACAGUGCAGUGAUCUAGAAUGAAUGGUCCUUGGUUUUACAUUCCUGUUCCAUCGUGGUGUCGUAGGUUGACUUAACAUGUCACAGUUUUUUACUUCCAUGCAAUGAAGAGGGUUGGCGUAGGACACACCAAUAGUACCUGCCUCUGUCACCACCACAAAGUUGUCUAGAGUGUCUGUGUUCUUAAAUCGUGUUUUUGUCUUGCCUGCUAGCAGGGCGUGAUGCCGUCUAGUUGGUUCAAUUUCCAUGGAAGUAUACGGUAUGCUCCGGUAACAGACCUACUAGAUUCCAACACCCUGCAACAUCUCUUUCUUUACUGUUUGAUCCAUUUCAGGGACAUUUCAUUCUGUUGUAAUUAUCCAGUCUACACCCUUGGAUAAAAAAUGAGUAUACCCAGAAACAUUGCAAAAGUUGGCCAUAAUGACAUGCAAAUUACGGAAAAUUCUCAUACGCAAGAAAAUGUUAUUGUUUCCUCUAGUGCUGUCAAAAACCUUUGCAUUCAAGCACGGUUCGGGCAGCCUUGGUUCACCUGGGAGCUUGUAGAAAAUGUAGUAUCUCAGGUCCCUUCCCGCCAAGACCUAUGGAAUCAGAAUCUAUAAUUUUAACAAGACCCCUAGUGGAUUUGUGUGCACAUUAAUGUUUCAGAAGCUCUGCUCCAAAAUAUACCAGGUGAAAUCUCAGCUGACCCUACCAGUGAAGGGAGAAGAGAGCAAAGGAGACCAGAGUGGGUGCUUGAGAGUCUGACCCUGGGGUUGAAAGAGCAGGUUUCCUAACUCCUGCCCUCUUUGUUUUCUCAAAGCCUCAGAGGAGUUUCACUCUAAGACCAAGAUGUCAGCUUAACACAAGAACCUUUAUUCAAACACUGAUUGAGAAAGGCAGUCCUUUCCUCCCCUUUUCUAAAGCUUGCAAAUAGCUGUCAGAACCAAAGGAUCAUUUUUUUUUUUUAGGUGAUUUCUCUCCUGAAUACAAAAAUAGUCCUUUUGUGUGCUAGGAGAAAGGACUUUGCUCUGUCUGGGACCUCUUCGUUUGUUUUAUUUACAGUCUCCAAUCAUGGUGGUAUGGAGGGCAAGGAAUCGUGUGUGAUAUUCAGUUUUCCUCCUUUUCCUUUUAAAAGACUGGAUGUGAAAGCUUAUAUUGCUGGGAAGCCCAGAAGAGGAUACGGUGGGAAGAGGCUCGUUCUGUGUAAAGGACAAAUAGAAUUGCCCACAUCUCAGCAUUUCUCUGUAACUUCAACCAUGGUCAAAUUAAGAACAGUAGGGGCCACAAUAUUCACCAUGGUUACAUUCAAUUAAAAUGACCUAAUAUUUUUAAAAGCCCAUUUUAUGUAGUUACUACUUGGAUUGAUAGCUUCAGUGAUAAAAUGUGAUGACAAUCCAUGUAUGUGUCUGUCCCCAUCUGUAGCCACUCCACCCUUAAAUGUGCCAUCUGUGUUUGCUGACUUUAGACCAAGACUCUACAUGCAAUUCUUUUUUUUUUUUUUAAUUUUUUUCAACGUUUAUUUAUUUUUGGGACAGAGAGAGACAGAGCAUGAACGGAGGAGGGGCAGAGAGAGAGGGAGACACAGAAUCGGAAACAGGCUCCAGGCUCUGAGCCAUCAGCCCAGAGCCCAACGCGGGGCUCGAACUCAUGGACUGCGAGAUCGUGACCUGGCUGAAGUCGGGAGCUUACCGACUGCGCCACCCAGGCGCCUCUCUACAUGCAAUUCUUAAUGUCCCUCCUAUUUGUCAGAGUAUCAAAUUAGUACAUGUUCAUUCUAAAGCGACAAAGUAUCUAUAAGCAUAAGGAAUGCAAUGAAGAUCGACAACGACCCUACCCCAGGAAUGACCGAUGUUUACAUUUUAUAGUACAACCUUCCAUAUUCCCUUCACUAUAGCAAGACCUGGAGAAUGUUCUUCCACAACAUGGGAUCCUUAAAUAAGUGAAUUAAAAACAUUUUAUAUAUCAUUCUCGUCUUUCUGUACAAAUUCCUAAUAUUCUUUGGUAUCAUUGUUACUGGCCAGACAUGACUUUAUUUGUGAAAAUCACACACUUUGUCCCAUCUGUCUGACGUCAUUGGGUACUUACAUUGUUGUCAAUGAAUCUUCAUAGGUUUUAAUUUUAUUUUUAAUUUGCAUCUUUGUUAAUGGGCUUUUCUCUAGCAUUCUUGUGUUCUUUCGACCAUUCAGACUUCCUUCUUCCAUCUGGUUUUCCUCACUUUUUAAAAUCAAUGUUUCCUAGUUGUUCUAGUUCAAAAACGUAAAAUACAAACACAUUCCAUUUUAAAGACUAUAAAGAAAAAUGCUAAAAUAUUUGUUUGUAAAGACCAAAAAAAAAAAAAAAGGAAAAAAUACAGAAGUACAGAUGUAAAUUGGAAAUCCCAAUCUCCUCAUUCCCAGCUUUCUUGCAGGUUCUUCCUCCAAAUUUCUCCCUUGUGGGGGUAAUGACUCCAUUGCGUCUAUGUUCUACCACACCCUUUAGUAAGCACAUACAAUAUAGUGUCAGCACACAUAGAGUAUUUUUAAAAUAAUGUGAAAUCAUCCCAAAUAUUCUAUUGUGUGUACAUCUUAGAUAUACUUUUUUUCCAUGCACUCCGAUUGGGUUACAGUAUGGUAAUCACACUUAGAUGCCUUUGGACAGUGAAGCCCUUGGACACAUAUACACCUGUGUGCAUCUCAGUCUUGGAUGCAUCCAAACAGCUCUUGGGAAGUGCCAGGAGUCCCCCUAUGAUCCAUCACUUUUGUGCACAGAGAAGGGUGGCCAGCUGAAUACAGGCAAAGAUGUGUGUACCUGGGCCAUAUUCUUGCUUUGAAGAGCAGAAGCCCCCAUUCUGACCUAGACCUGGAAGGCGAGUGCUGCCAUCUGAUUUCCUGCUUCAACAGAGCGUGUCUGGCGUUUGAGUGGGCACGAUGAGCAUCAUUUCCUCUCAAUUCUAGAGGUAGGGGCAAUUCCACGGAUGGACGCUAAUUUCCCCAGACUCUUCAGAUCACCUAAUGUUACAUGCUCGGGAUGGAGAGAAGGUGGCCCCAGCAGAAUGGGGUGAUAGUCAAUGGUGGUAAGAAACAAUGGAGACGGGUUUCAGAAGAGUCACAAAAGGAUCACCAUGAGAGGAUCACAUCAGUUACAGAACCAAAAUCCAGAAUUCUCUGAGUGGCUGCUUUUUGCCCCAGAUGUGGUAGGUUCUGUGUCUCUGUGGAAUCAAGAUCAUCAGUGGAGAGAAGUAAAACUUUCUGGAUAGCACUUGUAGCUUUGGACUUUUUUCUUUCUUCUUCUUUUUUCUCAGCUGUGUUCUUUCCGAAUUGCACAGCCAUGGCCUUAGGUCAUAAAACCUUGAAUGGCAGAGAAUGGAUGUGUUUAACUAUUUUAUUGAGGGAGAAUAAAAUAUUCAUGUUUGCCUCAA